AACGAACGCUGGCGGCAGGCUUAACACAUGCAAGUCGAGCGCCUCGCAAGAGGAGCGGCAGACGGGUGAGUAACACGUGGGAAUCUACCCAUCCCUGCGGAACAACUCCGGGAAACUGGGGCUAACACCGCAUACGCCCUACGGGGGAAAGAUUUAUCGGGGAUGGAUGAGCCCGCGUUGGAUUAGCUAGUUGGUGGGGUAAAGGCCUACCAAGGCGACGAUCCAUAGCUGGUCUGAGAGGAUGAUCAGCCACAUUGGGACUGAGACACGGCCCAAACUCCUACGGGAGGCAGCAGUGGGGAAUAUUGGACAAUGGGCGCAAGCCUGAUCCAGCCAUGCCGCGUGAGUGAUGAAGGCCUUAGGGUUGUAAAGCUCUUUCACCGAUGAAGAUAAUGACGGUAGUCGGAGAAGAAGCCCCGGCUAACUUCGUGCCAGCCGCCGCCGUAAUAC
rnacentral:rRNA from 1 species